AUGGCGUCCUUCGGUUCCAUGGCGGUGGCGCUCGUGGUGUGCGCAAUGCUGCUGCAGACCUGCGCCGCCACGAGGAGGCUCCAGGCGCUGGUGCAGGAGCAGCCCAUCACCAUGAAGUACCACAAGGGCGCGCUCCUCUCCGGCCGCAUCGCCGUCAACCUCGUCUGGUACGGCAACUUCUCCGCGCCGCAGCGCGCCAUCGUCACCGACUUCGUCUCGUCGCUGGCCUCCGCGUCCCCGGCGCCGCAGCCGGAGCCGUCCGUGGCCACGUGGUUCAAGACGGCGCAGAAGUACUACGCCAGCUCCAAGGCCCGCUUCCCGGCCCUGGCCCUCGGCUCCCACGUCUUCGACCAGUCCUACUCCCUCGGCCGGCGGCUCCGGGAGCGGGACCUCGUUAGGCUCGCCGCGCGCGGCGGGCCCAGCCGCGCCAUCAACGUGGUGCUCACGGCCGACGACGUGGCCGUCGACGGGUUCUGCAUGAGCCGCUGCGGCUCGCACGGCGCCUCUCCGCGGUCCCGCGCCGGGCGGUUCGCGUACGUGUGGGUGGGCAACCCGGCGACGCAGUGCGCCGGGCAGUGCGCGUGGCCGUUCCACCAGCCGCAGUACGGCCCGCAGACGGCGCCCCUCGCGCCGCCCAACGGCGACGUCGGCGUCGACGGCAUGGUGGUGUCCCUCGCGUCCAUGAUCGUCGGCACCGUCACCAACCCCUUCGGCAACGGCUUCUUCCAGGGCCCGGCCGAGGCGCCGCUGGAGGCCGCCACGGCGUGCGCCGGGGUGUACGGCAAGGGGGCGUACCCCGGCUACGCGGGCUCGCUGCUCGUGGACCCGGCCACCGGCGCGAGCUUCAACGCGAAUGGAGCCCACGGCCGGAAGUACCUGGUCCCGGCGCUCGUGGACCCCGACACGUCCACCUGCUCCACCUUGGGGUAG
rnacentral:rRNA from 1 species